CUGCUACUCCCUCCGUUCGGAAUUACUUGUCGCGGAAAUGGAUGUAUCUGGAAAAUACGUCUAGAUACAUCCAUUUCUGCGACAAGUAAUUCCGAACGGAGGGAUUACUUC
rfam:Triticum aestivum genome assembly, contig: Triticum_aestivum_CS42_TGACv1_scaffold_513169_6BS